AUUGUUAUAAUUUCCUUAUCUAGAGAUAAGAUAGCAUUUGAAAAAUAGCUAAUAAUUUUAACAAUUAUGCGUGGAUUUUAAAAUCAGUAAACAGUCAUAGAUUUUAAGUUUUCCACUGCACAUUUUUUGUUAAGUUUUAUGUAAAAGUUGUAACAAUAAACAAAAUGCCAUCAAAGUGAUAUGAAACGAUUGCGUUACAUUAAAAUUUUGCUCUUUUUAAUUUUCCUUACCAAAUUUCAUCAUACUGCUGGAAGAGCAAUUAAAACAAAAUUAUUACAAAUUCAAGAAAACAAUAUGAGUCUGGUUGAGGCGAAUGAUUUAACUGAACGAAAAAAAAAGGAAAAAGCUCAUAAUUGUCGAUGCAAUAUUAUUUUUAAUUAAAAAAUUUGAAAAUGGUUUCAUAAGCAGGAACCGUGAUGAAAAGCAAGCAACCAAUCCCGAAGAUGAGGAUGUAAACUCUUCGUCGGCAAUGGUGGCACAGGAAGACGAUGCUGAUAAAGCAUUUCUUUUGUCUGUUCUGCCCGAUUUGAAAAAUCUUAAUGAUGACGAAAAACUUGAAUUUCGAUUACAUACACUUCAGUUUUUCAAAAAUAUCCGCAACGGAAAUAAACAAUACAUGAAUCUUCAAUAUAAUCAUCAGCCAUCAUACUUUGGCAUCCAACCGACACCAACAGCACCAUCAUCGAAUCAUACAAUGUUAUCUCAAUAUUUCUUGAACUAUCACACACAACAAUCGUUAUAUCCAGGAACUCGAGAAAAUAGUUUCCCACCACCCUCCUCAAUGUACUUUUCGCCACAACAGUCAUUAAUUGUUCCAUCGGCUGAAGGUCCAAACACGUAUUUUAAUACAGAUAAUAAUUUAAGAUGUAUUGGAAGACAAGAACCAAUUUUGUGUGACAGUUUAUCAAAUUCAAAGCAUUUGGAAGACUAUAUUUUAGACUUGAAAUAGAAUAUAAACAUACAUUUAGACUAAACGAGUG